UACGAAAGGUGCAAGCGUUUGUUCGGAAUGACUGGGCGUAAAGCGCACGUAGGUGGGCUUGUAAGUCGGAUGUGAAAGCCCCGGGCUCAACCUGGGAAUUGCGAUGGAGACUGCAAGGCUUGAAUCUGGCAGAGGGGGGUAGAAUUCCACGUGUAGCAGUGAAAUGCGUAGAGAUGUGGAGGAACACCGAUGGCGAAGGCAGCCCCCUGGGUCAAGAUUGACGCUCAUGCACGAAAGCGUGGGGAGCAAACAGG
rnacentral:rRNA from 1 species